AUGGCGCUCCUCCUUGUACUGGUCGGUGUUGUGGCGGGCGUUGUGCUAGCGAGCAGCCUGCUGCUGCGCUGGAACGAGGUGAGGUACGGCAACGGCCGGAGGAGGCAUGGCGAUGGCUGCUUGCCGCCGGGGACAAUGGGCUGGCCGCUCUUCGGCGAGACCACCGAGUUCCUCAAGCAGGGGCCGGCCUUCAUGAAGCAGAGGAGGCUCAGGUACGGGAGGCUGUUCAGGACCCACAUCCUGGGCUGCCCCACGGUGGUGUGCAUGGACCCGGAGCUCAACCGCCGGAUGCUGCUGCAGGGCGAGUCCGGCGGCCUCGUCCCCGGCUACCCGCAGUCCAUGCUCGACAUCCUCGGCCGCAACAACAUUGCCGCCGUGCACGGCCCGCUCCACCGCGUCAUGCGCGGCGCCAUGCUCGGCCUCGUCCGGCCCGCCGCGCUCCGCACCAGCCUCCUCCCCAAGAUCGACGCCUUCAUGCGCGACCAUCUCCAUGGCUGGGCCGGCAGCGUCGUCGAUGUCCAGGCCAAGACCAAGGAGAUGGCCUUGCUAUCUGCACUCCGGCAGAUUGCCGGCAUCACAGCAGGCCCACUCUCCGACGCCCUCAAGACGGAGCUGUACACGCUUGUGCUCGGCACCAUCUCCUUGCCCAUCAACAUUCCGGGGACCAGCUACUACCAGGGCUUCCAGGCUAGGAAGAAACUUGUGUCCAUGCUAGAGCAAAUGAUCGCGGAACGGCGAUUGUCUGGUGACGCUCACGAUGACAUGCUGGAUGCUCUCUUGAGAAGCGGCGAUGAUGGGACCAGGGAAAAGCUCAGCGACGAGCAGAUCAUUGACUUGCUCAUCGCCCUCAUCUACUCUGGGUACGAAACCAUGUCGACGACUUCGAUGAUGGCCGUCAAGUACCUAUCGGAACAUCCGUGGGCCCUCGACGAACUCAGGAGAGAGCAUCUUGAUAUCAGGAAGGGGAAAUCGCCGGAGGAAGCAAUCAGCUACGAAGAUUUUAAGUCCAUGGCCUUCACUCGAGCUGUCAUUUUUGAGACGCUAAGAUUAGCCACAGUUGUGAAUGGGCUGCUGAGGAAAACUACUCAGGAUGUAGAAAUGAAUGGGUAUGUCAUUCCGCAAGGCUGGAGAAUCUAUGUUUACACGAGGGAGAUAAACUACGAUCCGUUCAUGUAUCCUGACCCAAUGACCUUCAAUCCAUGGAGGUGGCUGGUAAGUAAGAGAGCGAACAAAUAUGACCGUCAAAAUAUCACUAAAACAUACCGCCUUGGCCCUAGCAGAAGAAGUUCUAACCUAUUGUUGCCUACUGAAAAUGAACAGGAGAAGAACAUGGAAUCGCACCCGCACUUCAUGUUGUUCGGAGGAGGCGGGCGGAUGUGCCCUGGGAAGGAGGUGGGCACGGCAGAGAUCGCGACUUUCCUCCACUACUUUGUGACCCGAUAUAGGUCUGUUCAACCUCUUCUUAGUCCACACCGAUUCCAUUUCCAGAAUUAUUUACUGACAGGUACUUGGCAUUGGCUUUGA
rnacentral:rRNA from 1 species